UCAUAGCACUUAAUAUCGCAUAUUAUUCAGUCACUAUAUAGUAUUAAAGCGAAUUCCUGCGCCUCGUAGAUCAGUGAAUUUUGCUCGGCGUGCUUGUUAUACCAAGCCCACACACUGUUCUUGACCUUACAUGAGUCUACAACGUCAGUAUACAUCAUUUCCACGGCACGUAACUUGGUGUACAACGAGCUUAUCCAAGUCGAAAAAUGCAUA